UUAUUUUAUUAAUUUUUAUUUUUUAUAGCGUACCUUUGUCGUUGGGGGCUGACUUGGUCCUUCAUUCAAUGACUAAAUAUUUGAAUGGUCACUGUGAUGUGUUGAUGGGUGCAUUGUGUACUAAUGAAAAGAAGAUUCAUGAAAAA